UACGUAGGGUGCGAGCGUUAAUCGGAAUUACUGGGCGUAAAGCGUGCGCAGGCGGCUUUGCAAGACAGAUGUGAAAUCCCCGGGCUCAACCUGGGAACUGCAUUUGUGACUGCAAGGCUAGAGUACGGCAGAGGGGGAUGGAAUUCCGCGUGUAGCAGUGAAAUGCGUAGAUAUGCGGAGGAGCACCAAUGGCGAAGGCAAUCCCCUGGGCCUGUACUGACGCUCAUGCACGAAAGCGUGGGGAGCAAACAGG
rnacentral:rRNA from 1 species